rnacentral:rRNA from 1 species
UACGGAGGGUGCAAGCGUUAUCCGGAUUCACUGGGUUUAAAGGGUGCGUAGGUGGGAAAGUAAGUCAGUGGUGAAAUCUCCGUGCUUAACACGGAAACUGCCAUUGAUACUAUUUUUCUUGAAUUUUCUGGAGGUCAGCGGAAUAUGUCAUGUAGCGGUGAAAUGCUUAGAUAUGACAUAGAACACCAAUUGCGAAGGCAGCUUACUACACAGUAAUUGACGCUGAGGCACGAAAGCGUGGGGAUCAAACAGG